CAGAGUUUGAUCCUGGCCAGGAUGAACGCUGGCGGCGUGCUUAACACAUGCAAGUCGAACGAAGCACUUUAUUACGAUUUCUUCGGAAUGACGAUUUAGUGACUGAGUGGCGGACGGGUGAGUAACGCGUGGGUAACCUGCCUUAUACAGGGGGAUAACAGUUAGAAAUGACUGCUAAUACCGCAUGAGCGCACAGGAUUGCAUGAUCUGGUGUGAAAAACUCCGGUGGUAUAAGAUGGACCCGCG
rnacentral:rRNA from 1 species